GAUGAACGCUAGCGGGAGGCCUAACACAUGCAAGCCGAGCGGUAUUUGUCUUUCGGGACAGAGAGAGCGGCGUACGGGUGCGGAACACGUGUGCAACCUGCCUUUAUCUGGGGGAUAGCCUUUCGAAAGGAAGAUUAAUACCCCAUAAUAUAAUGAAUGGCAUCAUUUAUUAUUGAAAACUCCGGUGGAUAGAGAUGGGCACGCGCAAGAUUAGAUAGUUGGUGAGGUAACGGCUCACCAAGUCGAUGAUCUUUAGGGGGCCUGAGAGGGUGAUCCCCCACACUGGUACUGAGACACGGACCAGACUCCUACGGGAGGCAGCAGUGAGGAAUAUUGGACAAGGGGUUAGCGCCUGAUCCAGCCAUCCCGCGUGAAGGACGACGGCCCUAUGGGUUGUAAACUUCUUUUGUACAGGGAUAAACCUACUCUCGUGAGAGUAGCUGAAGGUACUGUACGAAUAAGCACCGGCUAACUCCGUGCCAGCAGCCGCCGUAA
rnacentral:rRNA from 1 species